rnacentral:rRNA from 1 species
AUACGGAGGAUCCGAGCGUUAUCCGGAUUUAUUGGGUUUAAAGGGUGCGCAGGCGGCCAUUUAAGUCAGCGGUUAAAUCGUGGGGCUCAACCCCAUUCUGCCGUUGAUACUGGGUGGCUUGAUUGCGGUCGAGGUUGGCGGAAUUCGUUGUGUAGCGGUGAAAUGCAUAGAUAUGACGAAGAACACCGAUUGCGUAGGCAGCUGACCAGACCGCAAAUGACGCUCAUGCACGAAAGUGCGGGGAUCGAACAGGAUUAGAUACCCUGGUAGUCCGCACAGUAAACGAUGAAUACUUGUUUUCGGCGAUAUAAUGUCGGAGGCAAAGCGAAAGCGAUAAGUAUUCCACCUGGGGAGUACGCCGGCAACGGUGAAACUCAAAUGAAUGGGCGGGG